ensembl:misc_RNA Metazoa_SRP Metazoan signal recognition particle RNA
GCCAGGCAUGGUGGCGCGUGCCUGUAGUCCCACUACUUGGGAGGCUGAGGUAGGAGGAUCACUUGAGCCUGGGAGGUGUAGACUGCAGUGAGCUGGGAUUGCACCACUGCACUCCACCCUGGGGGACAAAGAGAGACCCUGUCUCAA